UAGCAGCAGUAGGUCACUAGCAGCUCUCAUGGCCAUCAGGGGGGUACCGCUAGUUCACCAGUAAGGGGCAUCCUUUUUUUAAAUAAACCUUCAGCCUGCAGCCCUGUCACCACGCAGGGGCCGCGCUAUGCAGACUGGGAAGAGCAGACAGGAAGCUCCUCCCCCUCUCUCACUCCCCUGUAUACUGGACCUUGUGGAGCAGGCCCGCUGUGUGUAUACAGGCCCGGACACCACCAGUAUGGAAGACUUACCUGCCCAGUGCCCACUGCUCAUGCUGCCCUUUUAAAAUGCAAGGAGACAGAGGAAUCCUUCCGUCCGGGACUACUCCCAUUACUCGUCAGUACACGGAUCCUACCACAGACUUGACUAUUUGCUGCUCCACAAGUCUCUCCUCCCGGCGCUCAUGACCACAGAUCCAUGUAUCCUGUGGACUACUUCGGAUUUGGUGGACUGCUUCAAUGACCAGCGUCUUUUUUAACCCCUUCCCG